UGCAUUGCAUUUAGUUAUAAUUGAAACUUUUCUUCUAAAAUAAACAAUGUUUAUUAUAUUUAUUAUUUAUAAAAAGUAAGUGAGAUGAACUUAUUUUUUUGAAAAUCUGUAUUUACACGUGUGAACGCAUAAUUUAAAACGAAUAAAGACUGACAAUAAAAGUGAUAUUUAUUUUGAGAUAUAAAAUAUAUAAAAAUAAUAAUAAGAAUUUCUAUAAAGUUCUUUUAUUAUAAUAAUAUCUUUUAAUUACUAUAUUUUGAAUUAUAUUUUUCAUAUCAACACAAUUCAAUAUAAAUAAAUAUGAUGAUCUCACUAGUAAAUAGGCCUAUAGAUAAAUAAAAUAUUUUUUUGAUUGAUUAACUUUUAGAAAAUUUAUAAAUAUUUAUAAUAUUAAAAAAUUUAAAAUAAUAUGAAACCUUAUGAAAUUUUACAAAUAAUUUUUUAAUCUAACACAGCUUUAGCAACUUUCUUAUCCCUCCUCAUUAUAAUAUCAACGGUAAAGUUCUUAGGAUCUUUUAUCUUAGGGGUAAUUAUUAUUGGAGAACAACACAUGCUAUUUGAGAGACUAUAACUUUCUCAUUAUAUCUAUAUUUCAUUUUGUUGGAAUUAAGCUCUUGAAGAACUCGGCAAAAGCUGACAUAUUUCUAAUAACAUUCAACAAAGGUAAAUUAAUGUUAACUUUAGAAAGAAUAUCAAAGAUUUUAGAAAAUUGCUUAUCCUGUUUGCUUUUUUUCAAUCUGUUAGGAAAUGAAAAAAGAGGCUUAUAAGGCUCAGUUACUUUGUAGAACUCAGGUCCUGAAAAUGCCUCUUUAUCUUUCUUUUUUUAGCCAAAAUUGGGCUCUACUCUUCCUUCAUUUUAUAUACCUCCAUCAGUUAUUUCCACAUCAACUAGUCCAUCUUCUUUUAAUGUACCUGCAUAAGAAGAAUUUUUAUGUAUUAAGGUUUCAAUAUUAUUAUCAAAUAACUCACUAUCCUUUAGAAUAGUGAUAGCUUUAGCUUGCUCAGGUUGACUUGGAAAUUUUAUUUUCUUGUUUUCUUGUAUAGCUUCAGUAAUUUGCUCAAUUUGAGUUUCCAAUCGCUUCAUUGAAGCUUCUAUGGAAUCAGCUUUCUUUUUAUUCCUCUCCAUUCUAUAAUGGGUAGCUAUCAUAAAAGUUUGGAGUGUAUCCUUCAAGCUUGGUUUUCUUUGAGGAGCUUGUCCUUGAUUUUAGAAUGAAGAGUUUUGAUUCCUUGGAGAUUGACGCUCUUGGUUUUGAUAUUGGAGCUAAUUUUGGUUCCUCAAUAUCUUUGGUGGGUUGUGGUCAUUAUUUCUCCAAAAAAAAUUUGGAUGGUUUCUCCAACCUUGAUUAUAAGUAUUGGAAUAUGGAUUAUUUCUAAGUUCCCUAGGUUGAUAAGAUUUCAUCAAGUUAACCUGUUUAUAAUCAUUUCCUGCAUAACUCUCAUAAGAUGAACAAAUAUUA
rnacentral:lncRNA from 1 species